UACAGAGGUCCCGAGCGUUGUUCGGAUUCACUGGCGUAAAGGGUGCGUAGGUGGCAUGGCCAGUUUGAUGUGAAAGCUCAGGGCUUAACCCUGAAAUGGCAUUGAAUACUGCUGUGCUGGAGGUUUGGAGGGGGGACUGGAAUUCUUGGUGUAGCAGUGAAAUGCGUAGAUAUCAAGAGGAACACCAGUGGCGAAGGCGAGUCCCUGGACAACACCUGACACUGAGGCACGAAAGCUAGGGGAGCAAACAGG
rnacentral:rRNA from 1 species